UACGAAGGGGGCUAGCGUUGUUCGGAAUCACUGGGCGUAAAGCGCACGUAGGCGGAUCUUUAAGUCAGAGGUGAAAUCCCAAGGCUCAACCUUGGAACUGCCUUUGAUACUGGGGAUCUUGAGUCCGGGAGGGGUGAGUGGAACUGCGAGUGUAGAGGUGAAAUUCGUAGAUAUUCGCAAGAACACCAGUGGCGAAGGCGGCUCACUGGCCCGGAACUGACGCUGAGGUGCGAAAGCGUGGGGAGCAAACAGG
rnacentral:rRNA from 1 species